AGAGUUUGAUCCUGGCUCAGGAUGAACGCUGGCGGCGUGCUUAACACAUGCAAGUCGAACGGAGUUUUUAACGGAAGUUUCGGAUGGAAGUUUAAGAACUUAGUGGCGGACGGGUGAGUAACGCGUGGGAACCUGCCUCAUACAGGGGGAUAACAGUUAGAAAUGACUGCUAACACCGCAUAAUAUAGCGAAACCGCAUGAUUUUUGCUAUCAAAUAUUUAUAGGUAUGAGAUGGGCCCGCGUCUGAUUAGCUAGUUGGUGGGGUAAAGCCUACCAAGGCGACGAUCAGUAGCCGGCUUGAGAGAGUGACCGGCCACAUUGGGACUGAGACACGGCCCAAACUCCUACGGGAGGCAGCAGUGGGGAAUAUUGGACAAUGGGGGAAACCCUGAUCCAGCGAACCGCCGCGUGAGUGAAGAAGUAUUUCGGUAUGUAAAGCUCUAUCAGCAGGGAAGAUAAUGACAGUACCUGACUAAGAAGCCCCGGCUAACUACGUGCCAGCCGCAGC
rnacentral:rRNA from 1 species